rnacentral:rRNA from 1 species
GGAAUCUUGCGCAAUGGGCGAAAGCCUGACGCAGCAACGCCGCGUGAGUGAAGAAGGCCUUCGGGUCGUAAAGCUCUGUCAGGAGGGAAGAAAACCCGCAUUGGUCGGGCGUGACGGUACCUCCGAAGGAAGCACCGGCUAACUCCGUGCAAGCAGCCGCGGUAAUACGGAGGGUGCAAGCGUUGUUCGGAAUCAUUGGGUGUAAAGGGCGCGCAGGCGGCCUAUUAAGUCCGGUGUGAAAGCCCGAGGCUCAACCUCGGAGGUGCAUUGGAAACUGGUAGGCUUGAGUCCGUGAGAGGUUAGUGGAAUUCGUGGUGUAGGGGUGAAAUCCGUAGAGAUCACGAGGAACACCAGUGGCGAAGGCGACUGACUAGAUCGGAACUGACGCUGAGGCGCGAAAGCGUGGGUAGCAAAC